CAAGGUCUCCGUUGGUGAACCAGCGGAGGGAUCAUUACCGAGUUUACAACUCCCAAACCCAAUGUGAACGUUACCAAACUGUUGCCUCGGCGGGAUCUCUGCCCCGGGUGCGUCGCAGCCCCGGACCAAGGCGCCCGCCGGAGGACCAACCAAAACUCUUAUUGUAUACCCCCUCGCGGGUUUUUUUAUAAUCUGAGCCUUCUCGGCGCCUCUCGUAGGCGUUUCGAAAAUGAAUCAAAACUUUCAACAACGGAUCUCUUGGUUCUGGCAUCGAUGAAGAACGCAGCGAAAUGCGAUAAGUAAUGUGAAUUGCAGAAUUCAGUGAAUCAUCGAAUCUUUGAACGCACAUUGCGCCCGCCAGUAUUCUGGCGGGCAUGCCUGUCCGAGCGUCAUUUCAACCCUCGAACCCCUCCGGGGGGUCGGCGUUGGGGAUCGGCCCUGCCUUGGCGGUGGCCGUCUCCGAAAUACAGUGGCGGUCUCGCCGCAGCCUCUCCUGCGCAGUAGUUUGCACACUCGCAUCGGGAGCGCGGCGCGUCCACAGCCGUUAAACACCCAACUUCUGAAAUGUUGACCUCGGAUCAGGUAGGAAUACCCGCUGAACUUAAGCAUAUC
rnacentral:misc_RNA from 1 species